CCGCCACGGUAAUACGAAGGGUGCAAGCGUUACUCGGAAUUACUGGGCGUAAAGCGUGCGUAGGUGGUUGUUUAAGUCUGCUGUGAAAGCCCUGGGCUCAACCUGGGAAUUGCAGUGGAUACUGGGCAACUAGAGUAAGGUAGAGGAUAGUGGAAUUUCCGGUGUAGCAGUGAAAUGCGUAGAGAUCGGAAGGAACAUCUGUGGCGAAGGCGACUAUCUGGGCCAUUACUGACACUGAGGCACGAAAGCGUGGGGAGCAAACAGGAUUAGAUACCCCAGUAGUCCCUGUCUCUUAUACACA
rnacentral:rRNA from 1 species